CCCCGUCAGCUGAGAGCAUCCUCACUCGGUCAGUUCCUCGGGCGAGUUACGGGGACGACCUGCGGGAGCACGCGGGCAGUGGCCGGACGCUGAAGCCCAGGAGAGCGAUGGAGACGUAUGCGGAGGCUGGGAAGGAGGGCAAGCCUUCCUGUGCAUCGGUGGAUCUGCAGGGAGACAGCUCCUUACAGGUGGAGAUUUCUGACGCAAGCUGCCUCCCUCACUUCGCCCAGACCGAGUUCUCAGUCGUGCGGCAGCACGAGGAGUUCAUCUGGCUGCAUGAUGCCUAUGUGGAGAACGAGGAGUACGCCGGCCUCAUCGUGAGGAGGGGCUGGGCAGGGGCUGGGAGGGACAGGCAGAGCACUUGGGUGAGGACCAAAGGCUGUGAUGGCCGUCUUGGCAGUGAGAGGCCUCCCAGCUCCGUCCCUCCUUUGAGCAGAUCCCCCCAGCCCCUCCGAGGCCAGACUUUGAGGCUUCGAGGGAAAAGCUACAGAAAUUGGGCGAGGGGGACAGCUCUGUCACUCGGGAAGAGUUUGCCAAGAUGAAGCAGGAGCUGGAAGCGUGAGUGCCCCCUCCUUUCCCUGCCAUCCCCAGAGUCCAGAUGUCUUCCCCAGCUAUCUCCCCAUGAAUGUUUAGCAACCCUGACCUCUGACCCCAGAAAGGGGGCAGGCAGGAUGAUGGGGGCUGAGGAGGGCCGGUGAGCUGCUGCCACUCUCGCAGGGAGUACCUGGCCAUCUUUAAGAAGACAGUUGCGAUGCACGAAGUCUUUCUGCAGCGCCUGGCGGCCCACCCCACCCUGCGUCGAGACCACAACUUCUUUGUGUUUUUGGAAUAUGGACAGGAUCUGAGUGUCCGGGGGAAGAACAGGAAGGAGCUCCUCGGAGGGUUUCUGAGGAAUAUUGUGAAGUCCGCGGAUGAAGCCCUCAUCACGGGCAUGUCAGGGCUCAAGGAGGUGGAUGACUUCUUUGAGCAUGAGAGGACCUUCCUGUUGGAGUAUCACACCCGUAUCCGAGAUGCCUGCCUGCGGGCCGACCGCGUCAUGCGCGCCCACAAGUGUACGCAGGGCCCAAGGGGUCCUGGAUCCCCCUGCCCCUCUCCCCAGCGGUUCAACUCCUUGGGGAAGAGAAGAGAGCAGGGCAUGCCUUGUUGUUUGUCUGUGGCCACAAGCACCAAGGCUUGACAUGCAGAUGUAGGGGCUCUGAUGGGGGCUGUUCCCCAACAGGCCUGGCAGACGAUUAUAUCCCUAUCUCAGCUGCACUGAGCAGUCUGGGAACACAGGAAGUCAACCAGCUAAGGACGUGAGGACUCCCCCCACCCCUACCCUCUCCCUGUGCCUGUAAUACCAUGUC
rnacentral:sRNA from 1 species